rnacentral:rRNA from 1 species
AUCUAUGGCCAUGCCACACUGAACAUGCCCGAUCUUGUCUGAUCUCAGAAGCUAAGUAGGGUCGGGCCUGGUUAGUACUUGGAUGGGAGACCACCUAGGAAUACCAGGUGCUGUAGGCA